rnacentral:rRNA from 1 species
AACGAACGCUGGCGGCAUGCCUAACACAUGCAAGUCGAACGAAGCCUUCGGGCUUAGUGGCGCACGGGUGCGUAACGCGUGGGAAUCUGCCCUUGGGUUCGGAAUAACAGUUAGAAAUGACUGCUAAUACCGAAUGAUGUCUUCGGACCAAAGAUUUAUCGCCCAAGGAUGAGCCCGCGUCGGAUUAGCUAGUUGGUGAGGUAAAGGCUCACCAAGGCGACGAUCCGUAGCUGGUUUGAGAGGAUGAUCAGCCACACUGGGACUGAGACACGGCCCAGACUCCUACGGGAGGCAGCAGUGGGGAAUAUUGGACAAUGGGCGAAAGCCUGAUCCAGCAAUGCCGCGUGAGUGAUGAAGGCCUUAGGGUUGUAAAGCUCUUUUACCCGGGAUGAUAAUGACAGUACCGGGAGAAUAAGCCCCGGCUAACUCCGUGCCAGCAGCCGCGGU